UACGGAGGGUGCAAGCGUUAAUCGGAAUUACUGGGCGUAAAGAGUGCGUAGGUGGUUGGAUAAGUUAUGUGUGAAAUCCCUGGGCUUAACCUGGGCAGGUCAUAUAAUACUGUUUGACUCGAGUAUGGGAGAGGGUAGUGGAAUUUCCGGUGUAGCGGUGAAAUGCGUAGAGAUCGGAAGGAACACCAGUGGCGAAGGCGGCUACCUGGCCUAAUACUGACACUGAGGCACGAAAGCGUGGGGAGCAAACAGG
rnacentral:rRNA from 1 species